UACAGAGGUCUCAAGCGUUGUUCGGAUUCAUUGGGCGUAAAGGGCGCGUAGGCGGCCAUUCAAGUGACGGGUGAAAGCCCUCGGCUUAACCGAGGAACUGCCUGUCAGACUGGAUGGCUUGAGACCGGGAGAGGUGAGUGGAAUUCCCAGUGUAGCGGUGAAAUGCGUAGAUAUUGGGAGGAACACCAGUGGCGAAGGCGGCUCACUGGACCGGAACUGACGCUGAGGC
rnacentral:rRNA from 1 species